AUGUCAGCGGAAGCUCUUUUUCUUGGAAUACUCGUAUGCGCUGCGUCCGGAGGAUUCAACAAACGUGCUGCUACGUCAUCAGAAAGUUGUGACGUCAGCGAAGAUGCACUGAAACGCGAAUUGGGAAGUAUAUGCAUAUCCGAUAAACCCAUGCUUAACGUUCGUUAUGGCAGAAAUAAUGAGUUCCAGUGCGACGAAACAUAUUCUAAAUCGGAUACUUCUUCUCCACCAAUUAAAGUGAGCUUUAACCAAGCAGAAGCGGGAAAGACGUACACCCUUCUGAUGGUUGACCCAGAUGCCCCUCACUACAGUUUGGAAAAGCUUACAUUCUUCCUUCACUGGGCUCGACAGGCAUAACAGUUACUACGGUCCUUCUCCACCUUCGGGAAGUCAUAGAUACCAACUGGUCUUGUUCAGUUCAAAAACUGGUCCUGACGUACAUCUUGCGGAUGAAAACAGAAGUCAAUUCUCACUGCUAAAUUUCGUAAAUUUGAACAGUGAAAGUAUUUGCUCGGUAGUCGCUGUGUUCCAGUUCCAGGUACCAGCUUAGUCCCGUGGACAUCGAUAAAAAUAACGUCUUAUUUGUGUUAACAUUCACUAAUAAUGACCUUUAGUUAAAGCCGUAAUACUAUUAGCUUUUAUGUGUACGUUUCAGUUUUUAGUGCCAUCUUUGAAACAUUUACGAGACGAUUUCAAAAAUUAAAAGUAAGAUUCGCAAAUAUCGCUGAAGGGCUUACUUAACCGUAGAUAUAUACGAGUUAUUAAGUUCAAUAACAUUUUUUGUCGUUUGAUAUCUAACGUAAU